AGGACGAACGCUGGCGGCGUGCUUAACACAUGCAAGUCGAGCGGAAAGGCCUUUCGGGGUACUCGAGCGGCGAACGGGUGAGUAACACGUGAGUAAUCUGCCCAUCGCUUCAGGAUAGCCAUCGGAAACGGUGAUUAAUACUGGAUAUGACAUUCCUUCGCAUGUUGGGGUGUGGUAAAGUUUUUCGGCGGUGGAUGUGCUCGCGGCCUAUCAGUCUUGGUUGGGUGGGUAAUGGCCUACGAAGGUCUUUGGACGGGUAGCCGGCUGGAGGAGGGUCGACCGGCACGACGU
rnacentral:rRNA from 1 species